rnacentral:miRNA from 1 species
UGACUAGAUCUACACUCGUCCG